CAUCUCCUUGGGCCCGUGCUGCAGUACUGAUGGGUAAACACUGCCUGUGAGCCUGUCUUGUUUUUUAUUCAGGAAUUUAAGAGUUCUGUUGACCUGGAUUUUCAUUGCU
rnacentral:lncRNA from 1 species